GUUAUGAUGUAAUGAGCUUGCUUUAGGUUUGAUAUUUGUAUAAAGUAUGUGAACUGCUUGUAGGGAGGCUGAGUACACAGAUAACAGUUAAAUCAUAAGAGACAGACUACACCAACAGUACUGCUCUUCUGCUUUGUGUAGUACAGUGAACCUGAUUGCAAGGAAGAAAUAUUCUACAAAAAAUGCCAGUUCAAAAGGAAUAACCACCCAUUUUUUAUUCUCAGGUUUUGGAACCCAGAUGCCAAGACAGAAGAAUGGAAAAGCAAUGGACUUGGAACUUUCUACUCUAUUUGAUAGUGUGCCCAGGUCUGGACAUUUUAGCAAAAGAUUUCCAAAUAUGCAACCAGGCUGCCUUUGACAGUGUUGUCAAUAAGAUCUGUAUUCCUCAAUUUGUUAAAACUAUGGAGUCCUUGAAUUUCAAACAGGAAUGUCCCUGGCCAGCCUCAAAAAUCUCUUACAAUACUCUCAUAAAAUGUGUGGAAAAGACUGCAAUCAACACAAAGUGCAUCAACCCCAGUCUGAAAGAUGAAAUAUUCCUGGAACUUCAUCAUCUGUUUUUCCCCCUCUGUCCUUCCUCCAUGAAACCAAAAGACCCUGGCCUCCACAUCAUACUACUUCUGGUGUUGCCCUGUGUUCUCAGCCCUUUUCUCCUGUCAUACUUUUGUACUUAUAUUACAAUCAGAACUGCUAACCCACAGGUUCCUGUUUCCCCAUAACUCAGUGGUUAAGACAAGACUUGGUAUGAGGAGAUUCAGCUGCAGAUCCUGCAAAAUCUUUAAAAAGUUCAGGCUCCUUGCGCCACGGUGCAGUCGAGCAUGUUUGUCGGUCCGCAUAUACAGUAUACAAAGAACACGUGUACCGAUGAUUGUGCUAUUUCCACCAUUUUGCUUUGGUGUGAGAAAGUAAACUCUUCCUCUCAGGACAAAAUUCUUCUGUACACAUUCUGCAUAUGGAUGGAAGGAUCCUGCUGCCCUUCUAGUAGAUUAUGGCAUCAAGCCCAGCUCUACAAUUAAUUAUUUGUGUAAUACAUUAAACAUUCUUACAGGAUGCCCUUGUUGUCCAUCUUUUGUGUGAGUUGUAUAACAAAGGGCAUCAUUAGAAGAGAGGUCUUAUGUUUUAGAGUGCCACUCUAUCAAUGAGGUAAAUGGGUGUUUUUCUAAAAUAAAAUCAGUUAAUUUUAACAGCACUUCAUAUUGUAGUUCUGUAUUAUUCUUGCCCUUUUUAAUAGAUGUUUUAAGGGACGUACUUAGACAUUGCUCCCUUUUUUGCAAAAUGGACCUCCCCCUUUAGAAUGACAAAUUAUUGUAACAUCUCCUGCCACCCACCACCUUCAUGCCACACAACAAUGACUCUUCCAAAUACCCCCCAUAAUCAUGCAAAAACAUUCAAAUUUUCAACAACAUCCUGAAUUUGGUCCCUUUGCUUUUGUUAUACAGUACAUUUUGCGAUCUCCACAAAACACAUUUAAAAAGCAGUUGAAUUGCACUUUUCUUGCUUGUUUGCUAACUAAAACUGAUCCCAAUUCAUCACCUACAGUAAUUGUGCAGCACAACGAUACCCUUUCUUGCUAGAAAUAAGUGUUAUAAGCGUGGUUCCUCCUUUAAAUAAGUGAGUAAAACUCAAAACAAUAUAAAAUGCAUACAUUGAAUU